rnacentral:rRNA from 1 species
AACUUACCAGGUCAAGACAUGGGCGUGAUUGACAGGCUAAUGACUUUUCUCGAUUCCAUGGAUGGUGGUGCAUGGUCGCACUUAGUUGGUGCAGUGAUUUGUCAGGUUUAUUCCGGUAACGAACGAGACCUCGGCCUUGUAAAUAGCUAUGCUGCUUACAGGGACAUUGGCGGCUACGCCAAGGAAGCUCGAGGCAAUUGCAGAUCUGGAAUGCCCUUAGAUGUCCUGGGUCGCACGCGUGCUACAAUGACGCCACGAACGAGCUUGCGUGAUGAAAGUUACGCAUAAUCAGCAGUCGGCGUCUUAAGGGAUAGUCUCUUGUAACUGUGGGACUCCAACUAGGAAUGUCUCGUAAGCACAAGUCAACAUCUUGUGUUGAUUACGUCCCUGCUCUUUGUACACACCGCCCGUCGCUCCUACCGAUCGAGUGUUUAGGUGAAUUUGAUGGACGUAAGGAAGUCAAAUAAACCUGAGCACUAGAGAAGAGACUUCGAUCCUUU